UGUUGUCUCGUCCUCGAUGAUGAAAGAUAACUAGUGUAGUCCCGGCUUACAUCCUCUGGCGUCACACAAUUUUAAAGCUAAAAUAAAAUAUUUCUGAACGCAGUCGUACCUAGGUCCCACCACGCCAUCUAUACCUGUCAACUCAUUCGGUUUUCCGUGUUUAAUGGCGUCACGUUUGCGGUCGUGAAAAAUUUGUUAUUUUAUAGUGUUUUUUGUACUGAAUAUUCGAAAUAAUGGAAAUAAAAAGGAAAGGAGAACAUAAACUUCCUCUACUGAAAAAGAUUCGACGGUUGGAAAAGAAAAUAAUCAGUUUACCGGAAUCCGAUGACGAAGUUAAAAGGAGAUUGAAGGUGAAAUUGAAAGUGAAGAUGAGAAUGAUCAUCCUGAAACAGAAUUCCUUGAGGAUCUUAUCCUUGACGAGGAUUACAACAAAAAGGAGGAAUUAGGGGAUGAAGUACUGAAUAUACUAGGAGUGGCUCCCGCUCCAACCCCUAAGAAUGCACUUCUGCUCAAACAAAUUGCUGAGAGAUGGUGCGAGAUCCUGGAGAAAGGACUGAAAAAAGAUGAAAAAGAAACAGUUACAAAAGACAAUCCAGCCUUCCAGAAUGUACUCAAGAUGUGUGCUCAAAAACAUAAUAAGGAAGUUGCUGCUGCUCUAAAUGACAGGGCUAAGAGAAGGGAUCAAGUAAUUGAAACCCGACAGAAACAAAUGUCCACAGCCUUGGCCUGUGUAGGCCAUGCUGUACAGAUGUGUAUCGGAGAUCAUUAACAACUAAAACUGUAAUAAGAAGCUGAAUGAAGCGGGUUAGCAGCUAAGUGAUUCUAUAUGUUCCGGAAACCAAUUGAUGUAGAAACUUGGCACUCUCAACAAUAAAAAAUAACAAUCUAAGGACUCAUUACUUGAAACUGAGAAUGGAGAUUAUUUGUUUGGUAAUAAUCUGAUUGAAAAAAUAAAAACUGCAAGGGCAGUUCAAUAAUCAUGAAAGGAAUUAAAGGUGAUAGUGAAUGAGAAAAAGGAGAACUUCAUAAGGUGAUCUGAAAUCUGCUAAGAACGAGAACAAUCGUGCUUCAAACUGGUGAGGCCCUCCUCGGAUGUGAUCACAGAGGUUCCAGAGGUCAGGCGGGCCGACAUGCAAUCGUCAAAACCAGCCAGCAAGGAGACGAGGGUAAAAAUAAUGCUAAGGUAGGCAGAAUCAGUUUUUAUUCUUAACAAUUGGAAGCAAAUCACUAGUGAUCCUGUGAUAUUAUAUUGUGUCCAGGGUUAUAAAUAAUUACCUCAACAGGGGUCUCUACCCCUAAACAAUAAUUUGCUAUUGGUAGACCAACGGCAGAUUAAAUUAAAAUUUAAAUUGUUACUCAGUACGAAUGCCAUUGAAACAUGAUGGUUACAAGUGAUCGAUUCUGUUCUCCAGUCUUUGUUAUAAGAAACCAAAUGGUACCUAUGUUUCAUUUUGAAUUUGAAAAACUUAACACUUGUGAAUACUGAACAUUUUAAACUAGAGGAUUAUCGCACAGUAUGUAAGCUUAUACAGAAUAAUUAUUACCUAUUUAGUAACUUUAGAUCACAAAGAUGCAUAUUACCUGACUAAUAUAAAUGACUGUUGUUAAAAAGUAUUUAAGGUAAAGUAUUUAUUUAUUUUUAUGAAGGAAAACAUUACUAAGUAAAUGUUGUUGGACUUUAGAAAAUUACAGCAAAUUACAGCUGCUCUAUGAGAGAAAAGUUGCAUUUCAAUUAUUUAUAAUUGACAAUUAUCCGGGUAUUGGUAAAGACUAUAUUAUGUUUUAAUAAUAUGAACAUGAUUUUAGAUCUUAUCCACAUAAAGUUUUAUUGUUAACAAAGAAAAGUGUGAUCUGAUUCUCAAACAGUAACGUUAACUUCAGUAAGGUUUCUUUAAUACAGUACAAAUGACAUUAAUGUAUAUUAUCUAACUAAAAGAAAGUAAAUUCUUUAAAUUGAUUAAAGAGUUAUAGUCAAAGGUGAUGUUCACAAUAAGUUCAUGUGCCAAGUAAGCUUGAAGCUAUAUGUCUAGCCAUAAAAUACGGUAUUUUAUACACCAAAUAAUUAACUAAAAUUUCUUGCAGUUAAAAAGUAGGUAUAAUGAUAAAAAUGAAUACAAAAUUUCUUUUAACAAUCAACGUAGAGAGGCGGAGCAAUAGUGUAAAUGAAUCUAAGAAUACUAUUAGAAAAAACACUUAAAUAUCCGAGAUAUUUAGUGAUGCUUCUAUGACAGUAUGGGGAGCUUCAUGUGGUACAAGUCUUACAGACGUAGUAUGGUCAGAGGACAAACUAGGCUCUCAUAUAAAUGCUCUUGAAUUAAAAGCUGCCUGCAUCAAAGUUAACAAAAUACCAAAUACUUCUUAGAAUAGACAAUGUUACUGCUAUCCAUAUGUAUAAACAGACUAGGUGGUAUUCAAUAUCUACAUUUACAUAGCCUUGCAAAACAAAUAUGGCAAUGGUGUGAAUUAAGAGAUAUUUAUAAUCAGUUUAUGUACAUAAACAUCAAAAUUAAUGUAAUUGCAGUUUUUUGAACCAAGGAAACCACCAAGUAACAUAGAGUGGGAAAUUAAUUACAUUUUGAACAAAUAACUUCAACCUUAGGAACACCAUCCAUAGAUCUCUUCGCAACAAAGACUAACAAGAAAUGUCAUUGAUUUGUAUCACCGCGUCCUGACCUGGAUGCAUUUGCAAUUGAUGUAUUUACACUUUGUUGAUAUCAACUGAAGUUUCAUAUUAAUUUCCAACAUGAUCCUUAAAACCGUGGAAAAAAUAGUUUUCAGAUAAAGGGCAUAGGGGUAGUUCCAUAUUGGAACACCAUAUUAUGUUUAUGAGAUAGCUAGUUCACAAACCAUCAAUUUUGAAACUUACUAAAGAUUUACUUAUAUUACAAAAUUCCAAAGAACCACACCCCGUGCACAAGAACCUAGACUGAUGGCAGGAGUAUUAUCAGGCAGGCCUUAAUAAAAUCUGGAAUCAGUGAGAUUAUGAGAUCCGAGAUCAUGUCAGUUUCUAUAUCUGUUAAUACAUUAAAACAAUACCAACCAUGUAUUGUAGUAUGGACUAAGUAUGCACAAGAAUUAUGGCUAUCAACAAAAUAAGCCAAGCUUUCCAGAUGUUAUUACUUAUUUAACUAAAAAGUUUCACGAGGUAUUGUCAUAAGGUAGUUUGAAUUAUAUUAGAUCAGCAUUGUCAUUAAUUUUAUAGGUACUCACCUCGACGAAACAGAUGAAAAUAUCAAAAGAUUGUUUAAAGGAUUCUUUAAGUUAAGACCUAGUGCUCCUAAAUAUAAUGAUACAUGGGAUGUAUCCACAGUUCUUAAGUAUAGGUAUUGAAAUGGAAUAUAAAAAUAGACUGCUAUAUUGUAAUUUUAGCCACAUGUCAAAGAAUGCGAACAUUAAAUUUAAUUGAAAUAAACAACAUAGUUAUUAAGGAUGAUUGUGUAACAAUUAAAAUUGAUAAAUUAAAUUAAAAUUAAUAAAGACCUCUGGUCAAGUCUGAUACGUGUCAGCCAUUUACAUUACCUUUCUUUAGGGAUAAAGUAGAGAUCUGUCCUGCUCAAGCACUUAGUGAUUAGUUUGGUGCAAUAAAACAUCUUAGAAAACCACACAAAAAGGUUUCCUCCAGCACAAUCAGCUGUUGGAUAGAGACGUGCAUGACAGAAAGUGGUAUAGACACAUCAAUCUUUACCAUACAUUCAUAGCAUUAGGCACGCUACAACAUCUGCAAUGUUAAAAAAAAAAAAAAAAA